UUGUAUAUGUCAUGUGGAUUGAUAGAUAAUUUCAGUGUCAUAUAAAAUAUAAUCGUAAAGCUCUAUUUUAACACACUAAUAUUUGUGAGGCAAGGAAUUUGUGUUUUUAAGGCGUUUAGUAUUUCGAUGCAUCGACGGUCACAUAUAAUUACGACUGCUUUUACGUUAUCAGGUGAACUGAAAAUGUGUUUCUAUCCAGUACAGAAUUUCAAAACACAAUGGCCUAUAUUCGUUACAUCCGGGAUAUGUGAUACUGCUAUACAUGACGUCACCAGCAAGCGUCCGAGCAACAGCCAUGUUCUUUUGCAAAUAAACUCUAAAAAUCGACUAAAAUGCCGCGUGGAAGGCCUCCUAAGUUGAAGAUUCGUAUUGACGGUUUAUCAGGAAUCAAUGAUGAAAAUUCUGGUUCCAAAUCUCCAGGCACUGGCCCAUAUAAAUGUGACAAAUGUGAGCAGGAAUUUCCUAAAUGGGCCCGAUUAAAACGGCAUGAACGUAAACACGAUUACGAAAAACCACACAAGUGCCAGGCCUGUCCUGAGGCGUUCAACAAGGAAUACAACUUGAUGCUACACAAAGCACUGCAUAAGUUAGAUACACCACAGUGUCCCGAUUACACGUGCCACAAGAAGUUCUCCAGAGUUGCUAGUUUGAAGGCUCAUCUUCUUAUACAUGAGGAAGAUGAAUGCCUUGAUUGCCAAGACUGUGGAGAAGAGUUUAAUUUUCAGAGUGAACUUGACAAGCAUCUGAAAACUCAUACAGAUAACAAUUUCGAAGAUGGUGCUGCAGUGGACUGUAAAAUAUGCGGUGAAGUUUUUUCCCUACCAUCGGCACUCAAAGAACACAUGAUACGAUACCACUACAAGGCCAAGUCCAACCUGUUGAAUGCAAAGUGUUAUCGUAAGCACAUCGAUCGCUCAGCCUUUCAACAUGAAUGUGAUCACUGUGGAAAAUGUUUCCAGAAACCAAGCCAACUCCUACGACAUCGAAGAAUACACACAGGUGAGCGGCCUUACUCUUGUGACCAAUGUGACAAGGCAUUUAAUCAGAAAGGAGCACUCCUCAUCCACAUGACAAAGCACACAGGGGAACGACCUCAUCGCUGUGACCUUUGCCCGCAGACAUUCUCACAGAAGGGAAAUCUUCGAGCCCAUAUAGCCAGAGUGCAUGAAAUCAACCGAGGAAUGCACAACACAUACCAAUGUGAAGAAUGCACAUGUGUCUUCCGGAAGCUGGGAAGCUUAAAUGCACAUGUGAGUAGAAUGCACGGUGAAGAAGGCUUGGUCUUGACUAGUCCUCAUAUUGAUAUUAUUGAGGAAGUUGAACCAGUUAAUAUGAUGCUACAGAAUCGAUUAGGAUUGAGUGACCAGGCAGUUGACGAUGUUGUUCAACAGUUGAUGGGCCUCUCCCAGCAAGUAACUGAUGCCACAGAUGCAACAAACCAAAUUCAACAAAUAGCCAUGAGUAGUAACAUCAGCUCAGACAUCUUACAAGAGGCAUUAGAAAACAGUGGUCUGACUGCAGCUGCAGAAGCUGAAAGUCAAAGCCAACAGAGUCAAGAUGGAAAUGAUGGAUCAAUGAUUGUACCUUUGCAAGGUAGUCAUGAUGUUAUACAAUGUGUCCAACAAGUAGCUCACUCUGUUGGAAUACUUCUGAAAAAGCAGCAGAUUAAAAGGCGUGGAGUUUCUCGAUUUCAUCAUUGCGAUUUUUGUCAAAAAUCUUUUAAGAAGCCAAGUGAUCUUCAGAGGCAUAUCAGGAUACAUACUCGAGAAAAGCCUUACAAAUGUGCUGAAUGUCAAAGGGCAUUUACUGUGAAGAGUACUCUAACUGCCCAUAUGCGUACUCAUACAGGUGUCAAAGAAUACAAGUGUCAUGUUUGUAAUAAAUGCUUUACAACACACGGCAGUAUGAAAGUUCACUUACGCCUACAUACUGGAGCAAAACCCUUUAGUUGUCCACAUUGUGAUAAAAAGUUUAGGACUUCAGGUCAUAGGAAAACACACAUUGCUUCCCACUACAAGGAGGCCACAAUAAGAAGACCAAGAAGAACGUCAAGACCUAAGCCUUCAGUGGACCUUCCUGAAGUCACGCUUCAAGAACCUAUCCUGAUUACCGAUAAUGGGCUAAUUCAACAGCCAUCACGUAGUUCAAUCAACCAAUUUUUAUCUGGCGAUCUUCAGCAGAUUGGAAGUGUUGAUAGACCUUACAAAUGUGGCCACUGUGCACGUGCCUUCAAGAAAUCUAGUCAUCUUAAACAGCAUACACGUUCUCACACUGGUGAGAAACCUUACAAAUGCACUGAGUGUGGAAAGUGUUUUGUGUCAACAGGUGUACUCAAAGCCCACAUGCGGACUCAUACAGGUGUUAAGAAUCAUCAAUGCGGUAUGUGCAAUGGUCUGUUUACUACUAGUGGAAGCCUCAAAAGGCAUAUGUCAACACAUAGUGAACUACGCCCAUUCAUGUGCCCUUACUGUCAAAAAACCUUCAAGACCUCUGUGAAUUGUAAAAAGCAUAUGAAGACACAUAAAAGAGAACUUGCUAUGCAGCAGCUGGAGCAGCAACAACAUGGACAAGACCAAGUUGUCAGUCAGCAACAGCAGCAGCAACAGGACGCUAGCCUUGCUGAGCUUGAAGAGCAGACUACAGCCAUCUUGGAACAACUUGGUCAAGCACAGGCUCUUGGUCCUGCUACUAACCUAUCUGACCAAACUGUAGCACAUAAUACGGUUGUCCAAGAAACAUUGACAGAGCCGACUGGUAUGCUCCAAGAAGGAUUAUCCCAGGAGACCCUGACUCAAGCAGCACUAGGGACUCGGAACCUAACACAAGUGACUCUUACACAACAGACAUUGAAUGCCCUUGCAAAUCAGCAAGUAUUGGCAGCCAACCAGCAAGCCCUCUCUCAGGAGCAGCAGAUCAGCUUGCAAACCCAACAGAUUCAACAACAGUUAGAAGCCAUUACUGGCCAACGAUCAUCAAUUUUACAGCAGCAGACUGCAAACAGCUCUGCCAUGCAAGCCAUUAUGCUAAACAGUAUGCUUCAACCACAAGUGCAAAAUGACACUGAUGAUGGGAAAAGAACUUAUGUUUGUUCCUAUUGUUCAAAAGCCUUUAAGAAGUCUAGCCACUUGAAGCAGCACGUACGAUCUCACACUGGUGAGAAGCCGUAUCCUUGCGAGCAAUGUGGAAGAGCUUUUGUCACUGCAGGUGUCCUGAAGUCCCAUUUGCGAACUCAUAGUGGUGUAAAGAGUUUCCGCUGCAAUAUCUGUCAAGCAGCCUUCUCAACCAAUGGAUCUUUACAUAGACAUAUGACAGUACAUAGUUCUGAGAGACCUUUCAAAUGUGAUCAGUGCAAUCAGACAUUCCGGACAAAACUUCUACUGAAACGCCAUGAAGCAUCACAUUUGAAAGAACAAACUAAGAUUACAAAGAAAGCCAAAGAUGUAUUGCAGUUAACUAGUGAGGAAGCCAUGCAUCUUGUUAAUUCGUCACCAACCAAAGGACUCUCUGUAUCGGAAACCAUUCUUAUUCAGUCUGCUGCAGAAAAAGACCGCAUUAGUGAAAUUAAGGAUAAGUUGGAAGAGUUAAAAAAGGGUCCAAAACAUAAGAAUCAAUGCACUAAAUGUCCAAAAAGCUUCAAGAAGCCAAGUGAUCUUGUGCGUCACCAACGAAUACAUACUGGUGAAAAACCAUUCCAAUGUGAAAGGUGUGACAAAGCCUUUGCUGUUAAAUCAACUUUAGAUUGUCACAUGAGAGUUCACAAUGGUUCUAAACAGUUUACUUGUCACAUGUGUGAAUCACAGUUUGCUACAAAGGGUAGCUUAAAAGUUCACAUGAGAUUGCAUACAGGAGCAAGGCCUUUUAAAUGUCCUCAUUGUGAUGAGUGUUUCCGUACUUCUGGAUCUAGAAAGAUGCAUAUCCAGCAGCAUCUGAAACCUGAGACUGCAACAAAAAAACAGCGUAAACAGGCACAAGCUAAGCAGGUGGUACAAGCCAUGCAAAUUGAAAAUGAAGCAAAUAUUCAAUCAGCUUCAGUUGCCAUGACAUCAGAACCGAACACAUCUGUUUGCCAAGUACAGACAACUUCUGGUACUGUGGAUCAAAGCAACUUACAGGCAGCAUUUCCUCAAGGUGUUGUUCCUAUUGCCUUAACAGGUGGUGAGUAUGCACAGCUCAGUGAUGGUUCAAUAGCAACGGUAUUGACACAGGGCUUAGAGGGCAUGCAGUUGCAGCUGAGCACUGCUAACCUUGGGCAAAUUUCUGGCCUAGACUCUAACAUUACUGUCCAGAUUGAUCCAAGUAUUCUGCAACAACUUCAGCAGGCUGUUUUGAAUCCUGUUACUCUUCAAACUGAAUUAGGAACAAUCCAGGCAAGCUCUGAGACCUCUUUACCACAUGGAGCAGUCAUCCAGAAUAUAGAAAUGCAACCUAAUUUCUUAGUUCAGCUUGAUGGAAAUGCUCUUUCACAAAAUAUACUUCAGGUACAACACUCAUCAGAUUCCGGUACAGUGCAAGUUGUUGAUAACGGUGCCAACCAUGCUGAUGCUAUUCGCAUUGUGCAAACUGAUUCAGGUUAUGCUGCUGUACCAGCUAUGCUACAGCAAACACAGGUGACAGAGCCUGUAUCUAAUACUCAAAAUAUAUCUGAAGUUGGCAGUCACAGAGUUAACAGACCAGAAAAAGUACAAGGUAAUUCACAGUCUGUAACAGAUCCACAGAUCCAGGGCCAUAUGGUGCAAGAGGCGACACCUCAGAUAUUUUUGCAGUCCCAAGACAGAGUCCAAGAUGAUGCCACUCAGUCUUUACUCCCCCAGACAUCCUAUGAAAACAUCCAGAUAACACAAGCCUCAGAAGCACCAGCAUUACCACUUGCAGCAAGUACCAUACAAUCACAGGCUGAAGCUGGCAAUAGCAUACAGCUUUCUCUGGAAAGUGGGGAAACACUGACACUCCCUCAGAAUAUUCUCUUUCAGCAGGAGCUACUACCACAGGCUGCUUCAGUGCAGGAUAGCAGAAGUCGUACCCCACAGACUGCAUUUUCCGAUACCUCUAUGGAUGUAACUGGAUUAGGUGAAGGAAUGGUUGAAGCAUCAGAACAAAGUGCUGAUCUACUUGGAGAGAACCUCACUCAUGGUAAUCAACGUCUAGACAAGGAUGAAGUGAAUGCUGCAUCUAGUAGCGCCCUUUCAGCUGCAGCAUCUAUUGGUGCCAUCUACCCUUGCACAGAACCUGAGUGCAAAGUAGUUUUUACUCAGAUGAACCAAUUGAGGCGCCACCAACGAGAAGCACAUGAAGAGGUAAGACCCCAUGUGUGCCAAAUUUGUACCAAGGCAUUCAAACGCAUGGGUCACCUGAAGGAGCACCUUGCCACACAUCAGCCAGGCCCGUCACCUAGCAGAAAUAAACCCACACCCCAUGUGUGCUCAGAGUGUAACAAAGCAUUUGCUAAGCCUAGCCAGUUGGAGAGGCAUAGACGGAUACAUACAGGUGAACGACCGUUCAAAUGCCCACAGUGCGAUAAAGCAUUCAACCAGAAAAAUGCUCUUUCAAUCCAUAUGAAUACUCAUACAGGUGAACGGCCCCACAAGUGCCCUUGUUGUGAGCAUUUGUUUUCUCAAAGAGGAAAUCUAAAGACGCAUAUUAUUCGCAAUCACCAAGAUAAGCUAAUACCUGGCACAAACCUAAUGGAAGUUGGGGUUGGAAUAGCUUUAGACCUCAAUGAGGUCAUUGGUGACGAGUCAUUUAAUGACCCAACAGUGAAAUCAGGGGAUGAGGUUGAUAAUGUAACAGAAGGUCUCGAUCUGGAUGGAACUAUGAACUUCUUUGCUGAUUGAGUAAACAGUUUAAGAAAAGGAUGAGACUCAUGGAUUUCCUUACAGAAUGAGAGGUGGUUUGGAUGACUCUAGACCAAUAGACUACCAAUGAAAUGCAGUGGAGCACAUAAUUACUUUUCUUCCUUCACUUCCGUCACUGAUAAUGCUAAUGGUAUUAUUAUAAAUGGGAUGAAAUUGACUGAAACAGAAGACUCAUUUUUGUGGUAGGGGUUCUCAAAUUUGAAUCAAUAUGGGCUCUAAUAGGUUGUUUGUAAAAUCUUUUUAAUUACAGUAUUAGACACAAUGUAUUUAUUCAAGAAAUCAAAUCAAUAUGUAACAUUAAAGACAUUCUAGUCAACAGUGCAGUAUAACUAAUGAUUUUGAUUUUAUCUGUUAAAUUUUUGCAUUCCAUUGUGAUGCAUUUUCAAUGAAUGUUGUUGAUUCAGAUGUUACUAUUACAAAAUCAACUUUAUUGUACAAGUAUUGUAUUGCAAAUUAUUUCAGCUAUUACCACUAUUGAAUUUUGGUUUGAACUAAUAUUCUGUUUUGUAUUUACUCAGUAUUUACCUGGAGUCAGUGAUACCACUAUAUAUUCUAAUUAAAUAAAUAAAAAUAAUAAUAAUAAAUAAUUGACUUCACUCAUGA
rnacentral:misc_RNA from 1 species